CUCAAUUUUGUUGAUUUAAAAAUUUGUUGCCCCCUUGGUUGGGUUGCAAUUUGAUGCAUGAAUAGCACACCUUGAAGGGAGGCCAAGUUUCAUGAAUGCAUUGCAAAUUGGAUAUUAUGAAUAAACCUCCCUAUCAUUCUCUCUGAGCUUAUUUGAAUUGACAUCUUUGUUUGUUAACUUGUCUAUUUAUGUUCAAGAACAGGAAAAUUCCCUACUCUUGUUACUCACCAAGAAUCUCUUGAGUCUAAAGUCAAUGAAAUCAAGGCCACAGUGAAGUUCCAGCUGAAGAAGGUUCUCUGCAUGGGAGUAGCUGUUGGGAACUGUGCUAUGGAAGAGAAACAGAUUUUUCAGAAUGUUCAGAUGAGUGUCAAUUUCCUUGUUUCCUUAUUGAAGAAAAAUUGGCAAAAUGUCAGGUGCUUGUAUCUGAAGAGUACAAUGGGUACAUCAAAUCGUGUUUUCUAAAUUCCUAUACGGGUUGUCUUGGAGUUGUGCUUCACAGUGAUCAGGUCUAUCUCCAAGUAAGGAUCGUGGAAAGGUCAUUCAAGUUAUGUUUUCUCUUUCUUAAGUUGGAUGGUAGAAAUCUUACAAUGUUUGACUUCUAUAUUACCUUUUUGGUAGAUACAGGAGGAUUGAAUUUCAAGUUUUGGUUGUCUUUUUGUAUCUUUUAUGGUGCAUUUUGUUGUUUGGCACCUAAGAAAAAAAUAUUGCUUUCAUUAUGAUUACAAAUUUCUUUUAUUUUCUUGUGAAGUAGGGGAAGAGGAUUUCCACACAGUAAUUUAGCUUAUUCAUGAAAUGGGACCAACAAUUUUCCUUGUUCCAAAGGAGCAAACAUAUAAUGAUCAUUCUAAAUUGAAGAAA